UACGAAGGGGGCUAGCGUUGCUCGGAAUCACUGGGCGUAAAGCGCACGUAGGCGGAUUGCUAAGUCAGGGGUGAAGUCCUGGAGCUCAACUCCAGAACUGCCUUUGAUACUGGCGAUCUUGAGUCCGGGAGAGGUGAGUGGAACUGCGAGUGUAGAGGUGAAAUUCGUAGAUAUUCGCAAGAACACCGGUGGCGAAGGCGGGUCUCUGGGCCGAUACUGACGCUGAGGAGCGAAAGCGUGGGGAGCGAACAGG
rnacentral:rRNA from 1 species